rnacentral:rRNA from 1 species
UGGGGAAUAUUGGACAAUGGGCGAAAGCCUGAUCCAGCCAUGCCGCGUGAGUGAUGAAGGCCCUAGGGUUGUAAAGCUCUUUCAACGGUGAAGAUAAUGACGGUAACCGUAGAAGAAGCCCCGGCUAACUUCGUGCCAGCAGCCGCGGUAAUACGAAGGGGGCUAGCGUUGUUCGGAAUUACUGGGCGUAAAGCGCACGUAGGCGGAUAUUUAAGUCAGGGGUGAAAUCCCGGGGCUCAACCCCGGAACUGCCUUUGAUACUGGGUAUCUUGAGUUCGAGAGAGGUGAGUGGAAUUCCGAGUGUAGAGGUGAAAUUCGUAGAUAUUCGGAGGAACACCAGUGGCAAAGGCGGCUCACUGGCUCGAUGCUGACGCUGAGGUGCGAAAGCGUGGGGAGCAAACA